GGUGUAUAAUAAAACAUACAACCUUAAAACACAAGUUUAACAAGCUAACAACAUGUGUUUGUCAUUUAAUCUGUUCAGCCAACCACAGAUAAUCUCAAAUUACUUAAUUUGAUUGGUCACUGUAUCCAUGUUUAUCACUGAAGGCCAUGGAAAUUAACAAGGUGCUUUUGAAUGUUAUCAAUUAACUGAAAUUUGUUAGUGGUUUUAGAGCUCUUUUUCAGUGCACAUUCAUGAUGAUGAAACAGGCAGUUUAACCAUAUUUUCUGAAGUAUUUCAGCAGUACUAAUAGCAGCGGGUGAGCUAACUGGUCAAAAAUAAAAUUUUAUUUUUAUUUUAAAUCUUCAUCUUCGUCGAACAGUGGAUUUG